AACGACCGAAAUGAAAGCAGUGGUGAUGGUCGAUAGUGGGGGUUGCGGUUCAAGUUGGUGACGGUGAUGGUCGAUAGUGGUUUUUUUAAUUAAUAUUUUGAGGAUUGUUGGAAGGAGGUUUGUUAAGGUGAGUUCUAUUGGAGUGACGGGAGCCCAUACUUCAGUAAGCGGAAAAGUUCAGUCUCUCUUGCAGGAAAUUAAAGCGGAAUCGAGUAAACCCGUGGCUGUUGGCUUUGGCAUUUCAAAACCUGAGCAUGUGAAACAGGC